AGAUGGGCGAUGACUUCGUGUGAGAAGAAACUGUCCACGUGUCCAGAGCAGAACAUCAAACAUAACAGAGGAAACUCACAGCCUCGCCUGUCUCUGGAGAUGAAACUACCAUGUGUAUUACCGGCCCACAAAGAAGCCAAAGUGAGGGAACAGAGGAUCCGAAUGAAAAGUGAAUCUCACAGCUCCUGGGGUGACUGCCUAGAAAAGCAACUCACUCACCAACCCCUUCAGAUCCAAUGGAUGGACAUGGGUAAGAAAUAUUCUUUCACUAUAUCAAGCCAUUUAUAUUGGAGGGUUAUUAGAAUGCUAGACUGGCUCUAACAACACUUGUAGAAACAGAGGAGAAUUUUGUUCUUUGCCAACAAGUUUCAAGAUUUUGGUUUUUCGUUUUUCUUUUUUUUUUACUUUUUUACUGCCACACCCGUGGCAUAAGGAAGUCUCCCAGCCAGGUUUCAAAUUAGAGCUGCAGCUGCUGGCCUAUGUCACAACCACAGCAACACCAUAUCUAAGCUUCAUCUGUGACCCAUGAUUUAGCUUAUGACAACACGAGAUCCUUAACCCAGUGAGUGAGGCCAGGCAUCAAGCCCAAAUACUCACAGGGACAAUGUUAGGUUCUUAACCCACUGAGCCACAAUGGGAACUCCAUGAUAUGGGUGGUUGUUUUGGUUGCUUUUUGUUUGUUUUCCUUUUUGGAAACCCCAUGGCAUAUAGAGUUCCCAGCCACAGUUGCCACCUACCCUGCAAUCACCUCGGCAAUGCCUGAUCCUGAACUGAUUGUGCUGGGCUGGGGAUCUAAUCCGAGUCUCAGUGCACUCCAGAGAUGCCACUGAUCCCGUUAUGUCACAGCAGAAGUCCCAGGAUUUUUGUGUGUUAAGGAAAUGAUAAUCUGGAGCUAAACCUUUUAUACUCACACUGAUCUUUAGUAGCUCUUCAGUUAAUGCCCACAAAAGGCUAAAGGGUAACUAAGCUGAUGGACUUCACAGUUUUUUGCUGGAAUGUGAAGCAGGGGUCAUGGCAAUCUUUACGGUUGAGUGACAGCUUUCUCCAGAGAGAGGUAUGUGUGUUGGUCUCAUUCCACGAGAACCACCCUCCAUUAUGGGCCUUGCCACAUGGAAUCUUCUUAGAAUUCUACUUUCUUAGGAAUGAGAGAACCACAGAACCCUUUGAGCAAUUGCUGAAUAUUCUUUGGUGAUUAUAUUAUCACACGUUAGAGUAUGAGAGGUCUAGACUCUGAACUAGGGCAUUCAGCUUAUAUGUUUGCAGGUCAGUAGCAGAGUUGUAGCAGGUGGUGUGCGAUUCCUGGAUUGCCUUGAGAGAGCAGUUCUACAAGGAGUGCAGUUGCUUCACUUUUCAAUCACAGCCUCCUGCCUCUCAAUCCACAGGAAGCGUGGAAAGAAGAACAGAUUAUUCUCCAUUCCCUUUCUCUGCUCCUAUCUGUAUUUUUCACAGGCAAAUUGGAAUAAAGAUAUCUGGGAGCAGUAAGAGGCUGCA
rnacentral:lncRNA from 1 species